AGAGACAGCAGCCGCCGCGGGAAUACGGAGGGUGCGAGCGUUAAUCGGAAUUACUGGGCGUAAAGCGUACGCAGGCGGUUUGUUAAGUCAGAUGUGAAAUCCCCGAGCUUAACUCGGGAACUGCAUUUGAAACUGGCAGGCUAGAGUCUCGUAGAGGGGGGUAGAAUUCCAGGUGUAGCGGUGAAAUGCGUAGAGAUCUGGAGGAAUACCGGUGGCGAAGGCGGCCCCCUGGACGAAGACUGACGCUCAGGUACGAAAGCGUGGGGAGCAAACAGGAUUAGAUACCCCUGUAGUCCCUGUCUCUUAUAC
rnacentral:rRNA from 1 species